rnacentral:rRNA from 1 species
UACGUAGGGCGCAAGCGUUGUCCGGAAUUAUUGGGCGUAAAGAGCUCGUAGGGGGCUUGUCACGUCGGAUGUGAAAGCCCGGGGCUUAACUCCGGGUCUGCAUUCGAUACGGGCUGGCUAGAGUGUGGUAGGGGAGAUCGGAAUUCCUGGUGUAGCGGUGAAAUGCGCAGAUAUCAGGAGGAACACCGGUGGCGAAGGCGGAUCUCUGGGCCAUUACUGACGCUGAGGAGCGAAAGCGUGGGGAGCGAACAGG